CCAAAAACCUAGGGGGCAUGAUGCAAUCUUUCCCCCAAAAGACCCGCAAAGUCUAGACACUAUGGCAGUCUGCUGCACUUACACAAAUUCCCACGCCAGUUGGAGAGGCGAUCUUGCACUCGCGCACGAAGAUGGGGUUUCGGUUCGACCUGCUGGUCCUCGCGGUGGCCCUGCUCUCGACUCCGGCGCUCUCCGAUCUGGUGUUGACCAGGGUCGAUCGGCGCGAUCAAGCACGACUCAAAGCUAGCGAUCGGCACUAAACAUCGAACAGAAAGGACGAAAUUGAAAGGGAGAUCGUUACUCGACAAGAGCUGCUCCCGGGGAUUUCUCACUGAGGCCAGAGGACUCGAGACUGCGCUCAUCGUCACGGCGUGCGGCAGCGGGAGCGAGGCCAGCGAUCGGCGAAGGCGAAGCGCAAGGUUGGCGAGGUUCGAUUCGAUUCGAUUCGAGAGAGAGAGAUGAGAAAUAGAAGGAGGGAGGAGAUUAAAAAAGGGACGAUCCGUUGUGGUGCUCGAUGGUAUCGAUGCAGCUUGCUCGCUUGGCAGCCACACAGUCGAAGAGACGAAGAGCGGUGGCGAUCCCCUGCUUCGCGGCUUAGAUGAUUAGCGAUGAGAUAAGGGCUUUUACGGCCAUUGAUUCGAUCCUUAAGCAACACCCCACGCAGAUGGAGCCCGGGCGUCUGGCUGUCGAUAGCGGCCGAUGGUUUUCAGCCAUUGCAUUGUGGAUUGGCCGGGCGUUUCGAGAAGAAAUUGAGGGGGAAUAGAGGGAGAAAAGAAAGAUGAAUUGAAACCUUAAGAUUGACACUGACAAUUUUAGAAAAGUGGGACAAUGCGAGAUGAGCAUUGCUAUAACAUGAAUGGUUCGCAAAAUUUGUAUAUAAAAUGUGCUAUAAUUGUGAGCAAUCAA